UCAAAGUCUAGAAGAGCAAUGUCUAAUUCGAAAUGGUCCUGACAUCAACAGUGAGACGAGUAGAAGCGAACGGGCGCUCCUACCUCGACCUGUACGGUGCACGGUCAGCGAUCGAAUGAGGGAGCGGGCCUUGUUGACAUUCGACAAGGCGUCGCGGUCGGUUCGGUCCGCGGCAACCGAGCGCGGCCGAUCGUGGCCGAGGAUUGCCGAGCGCGAGCGAAGCGCCACAGUGCGGCGGAGUCGUCCCGAAGAUACAUUCAGUCUAUUCUAAACCGGCGCGCGGGCUAUACGUUGACGCAUCCUGAACCUCGCGAGCGCGAUUCCAUCGCGCAUCGUCGCUUUCGCCGACGAUCUUCGUCGGCUCUCGCGAUAUAUCUUUGAACAGGAAACGUCGCGCGUUCGGACACACGUAAAACUUGUGCGAAAACCGUGUUUAAAGAGCGGAAGAGAGUGCGCUUCUUGUCUCUUCCUCUGUACCUUUUUCCCGCGACUUGCUCGUUUUUGAAAUCCGCGCGUGUUUGAAAGCCCGCGAGGAAGUUACAUCGUGACGGAGAAAAGUGAACGCUUCGAAACAAAUCGAGCUGGCCGUCUCGCUCGCUCGCUCGCGCUGCGUGUUUUCUCGCGAACGAGAAUACGAGAAAAAAAGCAGAAUCGACGCGCAAGUGAUACCGCCGCGCUAGAGAAAGACGCACGUCGCCUGUGAAAGAGCUCGAACUAGUCGCGAGUUUGUGUUUUUGUUUAUGCGGAACGGACUCUUGCAUCGGUAACUACGCACUGGACACUGCGCUGCGUUGCUACGCCGAAGGAAGUGCGAGUGGACGCGCCUCGGAAGGACGAUUCGUCGCUGAAGGCGUUCUCGAGAAAGAUCGUUAUAUCGUUCAAAAGUCAUGGUCUUCAUGAGCAAAGACACAUUUCGCAGUUUGAACUGAGUAUCGUGCUGCUUGGAUUUGCGCGAGGAUUACCGCGAUCUCGAAAAUUUCUUCGGGGAGAGGAGGAAAACGAAGUUUUCGAAGGAGUGGCACGUGAGAAACCGAAGAAAUAAAAGACGGAAAUAAACGUAAGAGUGUGAGAUGCUGCGUUAUCAGCGGCCGCUAGGCAGUACACGUCGAUGAUGGAACAAUCGACAGGCAAAAUCUCAUUAGAGGAUCGUGUCGCGCACGCUAAUUAAUUACGUCGCCAGCGCUGGUGGCCCUCCAAUCUCGUUUCUUGACAAUUCCGCUAAUUAAGUUCGUGCUCCACAUUUGGAAGUUGCCAUCCGGGGAACUUGAAUCCGUCGGCACUCCGGUGAGCUAAAUUAUAUGCACGUAUGCAUAGACUCCCGAAAUGGAAUAUGCGUGUGUAUGUGUUCAAAUAGAAAUAGAAUAUGGCAACCAAUUUUCGAAAUUAACUCUAACAAUACAAAAAAGCAGAAAGAAGCAUAUACUCUUGUAUUCUUUACAUGUCUAAUAUCAACCCUUUGCGGUUGUAAGCCGCGAUGAUAUAUAUCGAGAUAUUCAAAGGAUGUUACCGCAAAAGAGAGAGAAAGAUUAAUAUUUCAUUAAAAAUUAUGUUAAAAAUAAAAAUAUAAAAAAUAAAGUUUGACUUGUUAGUCAUGUAUUUAAAAUUUCAAAAAUACUAAGAUAUAUGAUCUUUGUGUAUGUGAACUUAUCUUCUUUUCAAUGAAGAGAAAUAUAUUUAAAAUGCAGAUUAUUGUGGAAAUAAUUAUUUAAAUAGUUUUAAGAGAAAGAAAGAAAUUCUAUUUACACAUAAUUACAAAUUAGUUUAAAAUUUAAAACUUUCGUGAAAAUAGUAGAUACAAAAAUAUAUCGAUCAUAUUUAUUUAAAACACUAUAAUUGACUAUGAUUAAUGAUUGAAUAUUAAUAAUUCAAAAACAAAUUAUUACAGAAAUUCUGAUUUAAAAUAAUAUCUAAAGUUUUCGAAAUUUUUGCAUUGACUAUUUUAAACAUGCUCUUUUUCUUGGAUUGUUGUUAAAAUAUUAUUUCACAUAUCAUGUAGUAGAAGGAAAGUAUUCAGAAAAAUACAAAACUAUUAUACGUAUCCAUUUUAAAAGCAACCAUUUAUUUUUACUGCUGAUUUACGAAAACAAACAUGAUUUAAUAAAGAUAUGAAGCAAAAUGAGUCGAAAGAGACGUAAAUAAGAGAGAAAUGGAUAUAAAUUCAUAAAAACAUGUAGCAUUACAAUAUUUUAAUAUUAUUUUGCGCGUAAUAAUAAAUGAAAAUAUAAUUUCAAUUUGAUUAUUUGAAAUCUUUAACGAGAGAUGCACAUGUUUGAGAUCUGUUGCGUAAAAUCAAUUGAAUAUUUCAAAAAGAGUUUCAAUAAAAAACAUACAUAAAUAAUUAUCUUACAAUCAUUUAUAUUUAAGAGGAGAAAUAAAACAUAUAUAAAAAUUCUUAUUUUUUAUUUCAAAUACAAAAACUACUUUACUUAUCUCUACUUUCGAUAUAUUGGCAGUUAUAGAAAAUAUCUUGUUAUUAUUAGAAUUAUUAUUUAUGUAUAAUGUUCAUGCAAUUUUAAAAAAAUCAUAAAUCUCUAACGAUAUCGCAUUCAACUUGUCAAUGAUAAAAAAAAAAAAAAAA